rfam:Bombyx mori DNA, contig: Bm_scaf47_contig25412, strain: p50T/Dazao, build 2, whole genome shotgun sequence.
UUAACUCAAAUUUGUAUGGAGUUGGAACGUUUGCUUAUGUUUGCCGCUUGGGGCGCUGUUCCACCUUUACAUACAAAUUUGAGUUA